rnacentral:rRNA from 1 species
AGCAGCCGCGGUAAUUCCAGCUCCAAUAGCGUAUAUUAAAGUUGUUGCAGCUAAAAAGCUCGUAGUUGAAUUUUGGAUUCUACCAAUUGGUCCAUCUUUUAGAUGAGUACUGGUUGUGUGGGGUCUAUCCGCCUGGUGAUACGUAAUGUCCUUUAUUGGAUGUUGCGGGUAGUCAGGACCUUUACCUUGAAAAAUUAGAGUGUUUAAAGCAGGCUUAUGCCGGAAUACAUUAGCAUGGAAUAAUAGAAUAGGACGAAGUUGUUUUAUUUUGUUGGUUUCUAGGACAACCGUAAUGAUUAAUAGGGAUAGUUGGGGGCAUUAGUAUUCAAUUGUCAGAGGUGAAAUUCUUGGAUUUAUUGAAGACUAACUACUGCGAAAGCAUUUGCCAAGGAUGUUUUCAUUAAUCAAGAACGAAAGUUAGGGGAUCGAAGACGAUCAGAUACCGUCGUAGUCUUAACCAUAAACUAUGCCGACUAGAGAUCGGGCGAUGUUGUUUCCAUGACUCG